GAUGAACGCUAGCGGCAGGCCUAAUACAUGCAAGUCGGACGGGAUUCAGGAGCUUGCUUCUGAUGAGAGUGGCGCACGGGUGCGUAACACGUAUGUAACCUACCUUUAUCAGGGGGAUAGCCUCCCGAAAGAGAGAUUAAGCCCGCAUAAAAUCACAGCACAGCAUUGUGUAAUGAUCAAAUAUUUAUAGGAUAAAGAUGGGCAUGCGGAACAUUAGCUAGAUGGCGGGGUAACGGCCCACCAUGGCGACGAUGGUUAGGGGAUCUGAGAGGAUGGCCCCCCACACUGGGACUGAGACCCGGACCCGACUCCUACGGGCGGCAGCAGUACGGAAUAUUGGUCAAUGGGCGGAAGCCUGAACCAGCCAUGCCGCGUGCAGGAAGACGGCCCUACGGGUUGUAACCUGCUUUUAUACGGGAAUAAACCCAGAUACGUGUAUCUGGCUGAAUGUACUGUAAGAAUAAGGAUCGGCUAACUCCGUG
rnacentral:rRNA from 1 species